CCCUUAGAUGUUCUGGGCUGCACGCGCGCUACACUGAUGCGUUCAACGAGUUUAUGACCUUGCCCGAUAGGGUUGGGUAAUCUUUUUAAAUCGCAUCGUGAUGGGGAUAGAUUAUUGCAAUUAUUAAUCUUCAACGAGGAAUUCCUAGUAAGCGCGAGUCAUCAGCUCGUGCUGAUUACGUCCCUGCCCUUUGUACACACCGCCCGUCGCUCCUACCGAUUGAAUGGUCCGGUGAAGCGUUCGGACCGUGGCCUUUGGACGGUUCGCCGUCUGUUGGCUGCGGGAAGUUCGUUAAACCUUAUCAUUUAGAGGAAGGAGAANUCGUANCA
rnacentral:rRNA from 1 species